UCGCUCAACUAACUGAGCCACCCAAGUGCCCCCCAUCCUGUUUUUGCUGUUAUGCAAAUACGUGUAAUGUAGGAAAUACCAAGGAGUGUCUGUUCUACCACGUCACUGCUAAUGACUUUUGCAAAAUGUCUAUGAGUGCCUUCUACAAAACUACCUUCUGAAACUGUGGCGGAGAAAGUUUUAUACAAUUUAUCCAUCUGGAUGAAGGUCCCAGUGUGGCUGUUUUAUAGUCUCAUGUUCAUGACCUGUGGAUAAACUCCUAAGAACUUACGUGAUCCCAGCCGAAGCCAGGAGCAGCCACAUUAGAACCUCUGGGUUAUACGCAUCGUCCCUGGAAACACUGGACUCUGGCUGCACUUCCAGUUGUAAAUACCUAAUCACGUCAAAAAUGUGUAAAGUCCCAAGUCCAAGGCACUGCACACAGCUCUUUCCAGUACAUGGGUCACAGCUGCAAAGCUGUCAAAAUAGCAGAACAGUGGCCUGGAACUCUGCCCUCCAGAGGUCCAGGGCAUGUGGGCAGACUCACAGAAACAGAUGGCUAGACAUGGAAGAAAGGCUAGAUUUUGAUUUUUUGCUUUAUAAAUUCAGCAAAUUGGGCACAGCAGCAAUAGUCAGAUUCUAUCUGGUUCACUCCCAGCAAACCAGACUCUUGUGGAUCUGCACGGCUUCACGUGGCUCCAUUUCUUUUCCAAGAUGAUCUCAUCUUGCAAAUGGGCUUUCAUCCUGAUCAGGAUGCCUGAGGCUUUGCAAGGGAGAGGAUUAUGCUGGUUGGCCUGUCGGAGUCUCCAUGAUGCAUCCCCACCACCCACCCCUCCGGUCCUCAGGCCUGCAAUGCUUUUCCUGCAUUUCUUCAUCUGGACGGCCUUCAACAUUCCUCAAGGCUCAGCUGAGUAAUCACUUCCUCCAGGAUGCCUUCCCUGAGUCCAUGGGAUAAAAAUAGCAACCAAUUAAUUAGCACUUAACUGAGUACCAGACCAGUGGAAUAAGCAUUCUAUACUUUGCAUCAUGUAAUACUUCAACAACUCUGAGGAAACAGAACCCUCAGAACGUUGAGUGGCCUGCUCAUGGUCUACCUUAGCAGCUAAGAUACGUUGGAGCCUGGAUUUUAAGUCACAUGUGCUAAACCCAAAACUGAUGGCUUCUAAUCACUAUGAUAGGUUGCCUCCCUGCACGUACCUUCUUCAAAAUUCCCACAAACCUCUUUGCAAUUUCUCUCUAAUCAUGUGAAAUGGAAGUCAUUCACCUCUGUCAACUCCUCCGAACAGAAGGAAAUUCCCCCAGGACAAAAAUUCUCUGGAUCUAGCUCUUCAUCUCAUACCUGACAUGGAGUGUUCAUUCAGUAAAGGCUAAAGGCCAUGUGAAAUAA